UAGAGUAGGGGCCAAGGCAGCCACCCCUCCUCAAUCCCUAUAAAUAGAGGGGAGGGGCAAAGGGAAAGACAGAGGUUUUUCCAUACCCUUGCUGCCUCCUCUUCCCCUUCCUCUCCACCACUGCUCUGGCUUAGGCGAAGCCCUGCAGUAAAUCUUCUCCACCACCACCACCACGCCGUCGUGCUGUUGGAAUUCCGAGAAGGAUCUACUACAUCCGCUGCCCGCUGGAACGGGGAGAGGACGUCUUCAUCGACACCGUACGUGUGACCGAGUACAGAGGUGCUGCCCGCUCGCAGCACUAGAAGGACUACAUCUCGAACUUGAGUUCGGCAAGAGUACGACUACAUCACCCACGAGAUUUGAUCUUGUUAACACUUUGGAUCUUUGAGGUUCGUCGUUUUGAAGCAUCUCGUGAUGAUCGGAUGUGAUAGAUUCUACGUUCACAUACAACGGGUGUAAGCCAUGUUGCACGCGCAGAAAUACUUGGGUUUGCUUGGCGAGCCUAGCAUGUACAGACAUGGCCUCGGAACACAUGAAACCGAAAGGUUGAACACGAGUCAUAUGGAUGAUAUGAUCAACAUGUUGAUGUUCACCAUUGAAGCUACAUCAUCUCACGUGAUGAUCGGUUUUGGUAUAGUGGAUAUGGAUCGUGUGCCACUAAACAACUAUGAGGGAUGUUGUAUUAAGUGGGAGUUCAUUAGUAAUUAGAUUAAAAUAUGAACUAAUUAUCAUGAACAUAGUCAGAAUAGUAUUUUGAAUUAAAUUUGUAGAAUUGGCAUCCGUUUUCUACCAUGCGCUAGUCUUAUAAUUGAGAUAGAAAUACUGUUAAAUCUGACAAGUAACUUUACGGACUGGUACUGUAUUGUUAAAGAAUCAAGUAAUGAUUAAGUCCUAUUGCAAACUUUUAGUAAACCUCACAUUACUGAUUCAAAGAGCAAUGGUUUCAAUUAGUACCUAAGAUCAUCUUGUCUCCGUGAAACUUGAAGUUCAAAUCCGUUUGAAAAGUAAGGAGCUGAAAAUUUUGUUUUCAGAAAUAAGCGAGGUAUGAGAUAUAUGUGAUAUCUAAGACCUUAUUGCAAGAUGAUAGAAUAUAAUCAAGUGAGACUACAUAAACUCAUAAGUUUUAUGGGAAUGUACGAAGGUUGAAGACGCCAGGCGUCCCAAUCCUCCAACUAGUUGGGCACUAAACGAUAUUCGCAUAUCCAUGAAGUGAUCGUCCUUAGUAUGCACCGUUGCUAAGACUCGCCGUUUCGAAGCAUCACGUGAUGAUCGGGUGUGAUAGAUUCUACGUGUGCAUACAACGGGUGCAAGCCAGGUUUGCACAUGCGAAUACUAAGGUUAAACUUCACGAGCCUAGCAUGUACAGACAUGGUCUCGGAGAGUCGUCAUGAUUUGAUGGAUAAAAUUAUGAGUGAAAUUGGUCAUCACAUUACAAAGUUACUAAUAGUGAAAUCUGAAACACUUGUCAUAUGAUGAUCUUCAAAGUAAGAACCUCAAGGUCAUUGGUAUUUGACCAAUGGACCUAGAAGUUAUUGAAGGUGAAGUGUUUUCUGAGAAUGAGGAAAACUAAAAGAGAAACUACAAAAAGAUUAUGGCAGAAAGAAAGGAAAGACUAGAAAGUCUAGCUCAGGUGUAUAUAGAUGAUAUACAUGUUAUGAAAGUAUUCCUUGAUUGGUCACACAAUGAAGUUCUUGGGUAUUUGUACCAGAUUGGUUGGUAUGAGAUGUCAUACAACACAACGCAAUACAAGAAUACAAUGGCCUAAGUGACUGAUAAGGAAUAUGGUAGAAAUGCACGUCUGGAACAAAAUAAAGUGUUAUUGUGUUUGUCGUUGGCAUUCUACCUAGCCCUUAGGAUUUAUAAUAAAGAACUUAAUAAUUGUUAUUUUGCUCUAGUCAAAUGAAAACAAUGAGUUGUUCAAAUUAUGACAGUAUUCCAUGUACGAUGGAUAAGUUAUUAUAAAUCUUUAUGGUGAAGCACACAUGCAUAACACUGACGCUAAAAUGCCAUAAGGCAAAUGAUGCGAAUUCCACUUAUUAGUGGAACCGCCAUUUAGGUCAUGUUAGAAAAGAACGCAUGAAGGAACUCCAUGCAAAUGGAUUUUUGGAGUCAUUUGAUUUUUGAAUCGUUUGGCGCUUGCAAAUCUCUUCUAAAGAGAAUGACUGAAAUACCGUUCAUAGGCCAAGAGUUGAACGGGCAACUAACUUAGUGGAAACAUACAUGAUGAUGUAUGUGGUUCAUUAGGCAUAGUUGUGUGCGGGAGAUUCUUCUACUUCAUGAAAACUUUCAACAAUGAAUUGAGUAUAUAUAUGUGGAUAUAUUCGAUAAGGAAGAAGUUUGAAACAUUUGAAUAGAUUCAAAUAAAUUUCAAGCAUGAAGUGAAAAUCAUCGUAAUAGAAAAGUCAAAUAUUUAUGAUUGGAUCAUGGUGGAAAUAUUUGAAUUACAAGUUUUAGCGAACAUCUAAGAGAGUUAUGAAAUUUGUUCUACAACUCACGUUUCUUGGAGUAUCAUAGUGAUAAUGGAGUAUUCAAGAGACGUAUCCAAACCUUGUUGGGUUAAUGAUGAGAUAAAAUAAAAUGAUGCCAUUAUAUUUUUAUGGAUUAUGCUUUAGAGACUACCGCUUUUACACUAAAUAGAGCGUCAUCAUAAUCCGUUGAAAUGACACCAUACGAGUUAUGGCAUGGGUAUAAACCCUAAUAGUCCUUUCUUAAAUUUUGGUAUGCGUAGCAUAAGUAAAUGAGUUUACAACCAAAAUCGGAUGAAUGUCUUUGUUGGUUAUCCUAGAGAAUUAAUUGGGAAUUCUUUCCACUAUGGAGUCAAAGACAAAAGUGUUUGUCAAUGUUUCUUACUUAUUUCGAAGAAAUUGUUUCUAGCGAAGUUUUUGAGUGGGAGGACAAUGGAACUUGAUGAGGUUUAUGAACCUGAGCAUGAUGAUCAGAGUAGCGCAGCAUCGGAAAUGGUUCCGGAAGCGGCCACGACGAUCAUGGCUCCCAUGUCUACAAAUUGUUAUAGUCAUGGAAAUCGAAGUACCUAUUGAACCUUGUAGGUAUGGUUUACUUUGUGAUCAAAUAAAUGAUUUGUGGACAAAGGAUUGAUUUUGAACAAUAAUAAACCAACUGCAUGCAAAGAAGCUAUGAUGGGCCCUGACUCCGUUAAAAAUGGCUAAGUGCCAUGAAAUCCAAGAUAGGUCAAUACUUUUUGAAAGUAAAUGGAUCUAUAAAAUUGAUGGACUUGGGUGGAAUAUCCUUGAAGAAGCUCGACUUGUCAAAAAGUUGUUUACGACAAAGUUCAAAGAGUUGACUACGAUAAGAUUAGAUCUUCCGUAGCGAUACUUAUAGUCUAUACGGAUUGUUCUAGUAAUCGCUACAUAUUUCUUUUAUGAGAUAUGAUAGUAGGAUGGCAAAAUACAUUACUUAACAGAAGUGUGUAUUAAAGGUGUAUACAAGAUACAA